UACGGGGGGAGCAAGCGUUGUUCGGAUUUACUGGGCGUAAAGGGCGCGGAGGCGGCCACGCAGGUCCGCUGUGAAAACUCGAGGCUCAACCUCGAGCUGUCGGUGGAAACCGCGUGGCUAGAGUCCGGAAGAGGAGACUGGAAUUCCCGGUGUAGCGGUGGAAUGCGCAGAUAUCGGGAGGAACACCCGUGGCGAAGGCGGGUCUCUGGGACGGUACUGACGCUGAGACGCGAAAGCGUGGGGAGCGAACAGG
rnacentral:rRNA from 1 species